rnacentral:rRNA from 1 species
AACGAACGCUGGCGGCAGGCCUAACACAUGCAAGUCGAGCGAGAUCUUCGGAUCUAGCGGCGGACGGGUGAGUAACGCGUGGGAAUAUGCCCUUCUCUACGGAAUAGCCUCGGGAAACUGGGAGUAAUACCGUAUACGCCCUUAGGGGGAAAGAUUUAUCGGAGAAGGAUUAGCCCGCGUUGGAUUAGGUAGUUGGUGGGGUAAUGGCCUACCAAGCCUACGAUCCAUAGCUGGUUUGAGAGGAUGAUCAGCCACACUGGGACUGGGACACGGCCCAGACUCCUACGGGAGGCAGCAGUGGGGAAUCUUAGACAAUGGGGGCAACCCUGAUCUAGCCAUGCCGCGUGAGUGAUGAAGGCCUUAGGGUUGUAAAGCUCUUUCAGCUGGGAAGAUAAUGACGGUACCAGCAGAAGAAGCCCCGGCUAACUCCGUGCCAGCCGCCGCGGUAACAC